UCCCUGGUGGCCUAUUGCUAAGACUCUGCACUCCCAGUGCAGGGGCCUGGGUUUGAUCCCUGGUCAGGGAA
rnacentral:tRNA from 1 species